rnacentral:rRNA from 1 species
GAUGAACGCUAGCGGCAGGCCUAAUACAUGCAAGUCGGACGGGAUUUGGGAGCUUGCUUCCGAUGAGAGUGGCGCACGGGUGCGUAACACGUAAGUAACCUACCUUUGUCAGGGGGAUAGCCUCUCGAAAGAGCGAUUAAGACCGCAUAACAUUACAAUGUGGCAUCACAAAGUAAUCAAAUAAUUAAAGGACAAAGAUGGGCAUACGGAACAAUAGCUAGGUGGUACGGUAACGGCGUACCAAGGCUACGAUGUUUAGGGGAUCUGAGAGGAUGGCCCCCCACACUGGUACUGAGACACGGACCAGACUCCUACGGGAGGCAGCAGUAAGGAAUAUUGGUCAAUGGACGGAAGUCUGAACCAGCCAUGCCGCGUGCAGGAAGACGGCCCUACGGGUUGUAAACUGCUUUUGCAGGGGAAUAAACCCCGAUAUGUAUAUCGGGCUGAAUGUACUCUGAGAAUAAGGAUCGGCUAACUCCGUGCCAGCAGCCGCCGUAA